AUUGAACGCUGGCGGCAGGCUUAACACAUGCAAGUCGAACGAGUGGCGGACGGGUGAGUAAUGCUUGGGAAUCUAGCUUAUGGAGGGGGAUAACUACGGGAAACUGUAGCUAAUACCGCGUACCAUAGGAUGAGCCCAAGUGGGAGUAGGUAGUUGGUGAGGUAAAGGCUCACCAAGCCGACGAUCUCUAGCUGGUCUGAGAGGAUGACCAGCCAAACGGGGACUGAGAAACGGCCCAGACUCAUACGGGAGGCAGCAGUGGGGAAUAUUGCGAAAUGGGGGCAACCUGACGCAGCCAUGCCGCGUGAAUGAAGAAGGCCUUCGGGUUGUAAAGUACUUGCAGUCGGGAGGCGUUACCGACAGGAGAAGCACCGGCUAACUCCGUGCCAGCAGCCGCGGUAAUUC
rnacentral:rRNA from 1 species